AAUAGCAAAACAGCAAUGCCCACUGCAAUGCCAAUAAUAAGAGCACCCACAUUCCUAUCAUUACCUAUAUCAGAAGCAGCCAAUCUGACAUAGAGAUCUUGACCACCUUCUGCGUAUUGUCUCAUAUCUGAGAGCUCAUUAACCCAAAUCACACAUCCUGUGCCUCCAUUGCUAAUAUUUGAAUUGGCAUAAGCAGUGCAAGAACAGUUCCUCAAGCAUAACAAUUCACAGUCUUUGAGACUCAUUUUAAUAUCCACAGAUGAGGUUGAGCUUUCUGGCAAUUUCAUGUUCUUCAAGCGCAAGAAUUUAUCACUCAUGCAUUGCAGAUCUGUUUUCCUGACACACCCAUCUGACCCAUCUCUCAAAUUCCAUGCUUGUGGGUUCUUGGGCUGGAAACCCCUCAUGCACUCGCAAACAGGGGAGGCAUUUGAGUCACAUAUUCCAUACGGACCACACUCCAUG
rnacentral:misc_RNA from 1 species